GACACCAGGUUACGUCCUCAUGUGAUUAGGCAGCACAGGUUUUGUUUAAAAGGGCAAAGUCAACUCUCUGAAACAAAUAAAAGCAGGUGGGAGAAGCGGAUGGCCUGAAAGGACACCUGGAGCAACCCUGGAGCUGGGUGCAUGCCCUUGGCUUCCCACACACCCUUGCCCUGAGUGUGCUCUAGCAGGUCUCGGGGGAGUUGGUGUCAGAGCCAGAAAUGACACAUGUGCUACCACAGCCUUUUUUCAUGCAUUCCUGUUGUUAGCUUUACCUUCUUCUCAAAAUUAGUUUUUCCAAAAACAGCUUCCCACGUCUCCUUGGAGAUGAACCUAUUUUACUUCAGUUUAAAGAAAGUGCUCAUCACCCAAAAGAAAAAGAAAAAAAAAAAAAAGGAAAG